UACAGAGGGUGCAAGCGUUAAUCGGAAUUACUGGGCGUAAAGGGCGCGUAGGCGGCCUGUUAAGUCGAACGUGAAAUCCCCGGGCUCAACCCGGGAACUGCGUCCGAUACUGGCUGGCUUGAAUCCGGGAGAGGGAUGUGGAAUUCCAGGUGUAGCGGUGAAAUGCGUAGAUAUCUGGAGGAACACCGGUGGCGAAGGCGACAUCCUGGACCGGUAUUGACGCUGAGGCGCGAAAGCCAGGGGAGCAAACGGG
rnacentral:rRNA from 1 species